GCCCCAGGUCUGCUCUGUGACGCCCCAGUAACACCCUGAGCACUGCCUGGCAGCCCAGACGUGGGCACAGGACCAUUUCUGAGUGAUCUGCCUAAGAGGUGCCAAUUCCUUCUUGGUAUCAUUUUAAGAGUUUUUGUUCCUAGACGGAAGAAAAUGGCAGGACAUCUUCAAUGAAAAUGGGAAAGAUCAUAUUAAUAGCUGACUUUUAUUAGUAGAGAAAAGAAAGACCUUUUGGUGAAAGGCUUCCAACUUUAAGAAAGGAAACUUUGACCAAAAGAGAGAACUUACUGUUUUGAAAGAGUUUGCUGGGUGGAGACAUCAGACUGAGAGGAUCUUGCGCAACUCUGCUUUUUAGGCCUAAUACUAAAUUCACCCAUUUAUUCAUUUGCUUUGCACAGGAAAAUCACUGAGGAAUGCAGUGGAAAGGCAGAGUUCUGGUCUAGUUGAGAGCACUUCCAGGAUCAGGAAGGCCACGCAAGACGUGUGGGGGGUGCUCUGUGCAGGUGAAGGCAGCUCGGGGACCGGGGUGCCGUGUGCCUGCCCCUAACCCCGAGGCUGGAGAGGUUCAUGACGUGAGAGGUGCUGCUGGUGCAGGGUUUGCCCUUCUCUGACCGGCACGUUGAGCUUUGGGCUUUCUGCCCGUCCUCCUCCUUGUGCUGCCCCAGCGUGACCCAGCUGCCAGGCUCUGAUAAGGCUGAGGGGAGAUAAGAGGCUCGUUGCCUUCUCCUUCAUCUGCAGCACCAGCAAGUGGCAAGGGUCAGCUCUCAAAACCCUGUGAGUUCUGUGAAAUACAAGGGAAAGUGGCUCCCGAGUGAAACGGGUCAUGCACCCCCCCCAUCUGUGUUUGUUAAACACAAAGCUCCGGAGAAAGAAUUGAAAGGGGAAAAGGAUUAAAGGGCAGUAGAAGAGAGCAGGUUCCCCUUUUCCCCUGCACACCUCCACGUCCCUCAAGAAGAUGCCUCGAAGCUCCAGGACGGUUUUAUCUUGAGCAAAGCCCCAGGCUGUUGAUGUGGCAGAGGGGCCAAGACACACCCCGAGGGACACAGGUAGGAAUUUGGCUCUGGAGCUGUUUCCACUGGAAAACAAAGGGGUUUCUGUGACAGUCAGGAACAAGUGCCAGUUAAAGGGCAUGAGCUCCUCCCGUGCUGUGUUCAGCUGCAGAAUCUCAGCAGCGAAGUUCACACAAGCCACCAGCAGCCCUCUGCGCCCUCCUUCCUCAGGUAGGCUGAGCACAGCAGGGUUCUGCACUCAGAAAACUGUGAAAACUUGCUUCUUACCGCCUCUCAGCUCCUUCCUUGGCAGCACAUUUUUAGGGUGACCGGGAAAGUACCGUUCUCUCCCCAGAACGUGGUGUCUGACUGCCGUGCAUCCGCAGCAGGGCUUUAAGGAGCAGCGCACACAAACUGCGGCGGGGCGCGGAGCUCCAUGGCCAGCGCGGCUUCUCCUGCAGCACGUGCUGCCUCUGAGGAGGCACGAGAGGCAGGGCAUAAAGCAGCAGCUAUGGGCUGCCUGGGGUCUCCCCUGCCCUGAUCUGUGGUGUUGGAGGCCGCUGUUGCUGCAGUGCCUGCGGUGGGGUCCGUAGCACCAGCGCCGGGGUGGACCAGGUUCAAGCGCUUUUUGCCGGUAGAGCUGCAGAAGGGAUGAAUUAUGAUGUCAAAACAGAGAGAUGUUGUCACACAACCACCUCCCCUCCUGGGGUCAAGGUCCUGUUUUAUAGCUUGGGAGCCCAUUAGUCCGUUUAAAAGCAUAUGGCCAAGCACGGCCACAAAAAUCCCGUGUGUUUGGGUCAGAGCUGCAGACAAAAGGCUCUUUGUGCGAAGAGCUGACAAUGACAAAUAAAGAGGAACCUGUUGAUCUAGGGGAGAAAUGGAGGCUUAUGAAAAGAUCACAUGGUGAGAAAGAGACCUUGGCUGUUUGUCUGGAUGUCAGUCUUGUCUGUCAUUAAGCUGCUUUCUGCAGCUAUUUGCUAAUAGAAAUGCUGUCUCCUGCCCGUGUGUUUUGUCUGUCCUGGAAAAUGCUACCUGUGUCUGAGCGUGCCAGCCUCGUGAGACCACAUCAGAGAGGAGAUAUGCUCUUAACUGGAUCCUUGCCAUGUGUUAGGUGUUGCAUAAAAUAGUUAAUGCUUGCAGAUUCUUCUGAAAGCACUGGUAGUACCAGAAACAGUAAAUGCUAAAAAAAAAAAAAAAAGUCUGUCCAACUGUGAUACAUCAGCACAGGACACACAGACACAUACACACCACCAGUAACAAACCCCUCAUAAUUCAGCGAAGUUAUUGGAGGCCCAACCAAGAGCCAUGUCUAAUGCUAAUAACAAGCAUAUUUCCCAAAGGUAACAUUUGAUUUCUAUCCAAACCCGGACAUAUUUGAAGCUUUGCCUGAAAGCCGUUGCGUCGCAGAUUACCUGGGACAAUUUAAUCUGUGAAUAACUUCGUAAAGCCUUCAGCCAGCUCUGAGGAAACAGCAAUACAGUCUUGAUGAGACUGGGCUGCAAAACACUUCACAGCUGAAGAAACUGAGAUGGGGAAGGUGGCUGGAAGUUGAGACGGAGGGAAACGUCCCUUGCUGUUCUUUAAGCACUGGUUUGAAAUCAAUGCAGAUAAUGCACUUGGAAGGACCGUCUCGUUUACUGGUUUUCAGUAAAUUGCUGGGCUGUGUUUCCCAGUGAUAACGUGAUAGUGACGUCUAUGCCGGUAAGAAUAUAUAUAUAUAUAUUUUUAAAAAAGUCUGCAAUUCCUUGCAAGCAACUUCUGGCUAGUUUAGUCUGGGAUGCCCUGAAUUCUGUACGUUGACAGUAAAUAUCUCGGGCUGCUGCAUGUCGCUCCCGGUAGUACAACCUGCUCCUGAGUUAUCUGUGGCUUCUUCCAAAGACACAACAAACUCUGCUUCAGCACAACAGCCUCCUGCAGUGUCAGGCAGUGAGAAAUGCCCUUGCCUGCUCACUACAGCCUUGCACAAACCUCCCUGGCACAGCAGAGGUUCCUUCUAACCAGUGCUCCUCCUUCUUCCUUAGUCCUGAUUUUUGCCCCUGGAAGUCGGUGAUGAACUCCCAGUGACUUCAGUGCUGCUGGAUUAGACCUGGGGUUCAAUUAUCCUCCUUAAAAGUACAAACUAAUAAUUCAUACUUCUAAGUGGGCUUGCUAUGGACAGCACCACUAGGGAUUUAGUGCACAAUGUUGGAGUUGGUGCUUGGGCUUUCUCCUAACAAUCUUUUUUAACUGGAGGCAGAUCUCUUUAUAUAUGCACUGGGAGAAUAAUUUUAUGAGUAAAUAUGAUCUUUAUUAAUAUUUUUCUUUGUUAAUUCACUGAUGCUAGUAAAGAACUUUUGAAGAUGAAAGCACUGCAUGCAAUAAACAUUAAGAUGAUUCCAAUUUAUUUUAAUGUUGCCAGCAUUCCUGCUCCAUCAUCUUUCAUCCAAGAAUCUCAAAGUGCUUUCCAAGUGCUAAUAAAUUUUCUCUCAACAGUCCCGGGAGAUAUUUAUUAUCAUCAUCCCCAUUUCAUAAAGGAGUGCAUUUUACAUGGUCAAAAUCGGGUCGUACGGCAGGAAUCUAUUUGGGAAGGAGCCAACAAUCCCUGAUUCCCAUUCUCCUGCUCUUGCUGCUAGACCACAUUCCCUUCUGGGGAGUGUGGUGCGACACUCACCCGCGGCGCUUGCCUUCCUUUGUCAGGUGCUCGCAGUGGUUGCUCUUAAAACAAAAAAAUAGACAACAAUAACAUGCCCCACCCAGGAUGGGAGAGGAAAUGAGACUCUGCAAAGUCAGAACGAUCGCAGUUGUUGGUUGCACGCAGUGGGCUAGGGUGAGGUUUGCUGGGAGUCCUGGUGCCCAGCCGCCUGCCUGGUAGGCGUGGGGAUGAAGGCGCUGCUUGGAGGGACAGAACAGACACGUCUUCCAAUGUGCAGGAGUAAGCUUUAAUUGGAGGCUGUUCUAGAGCCCUGUUGUAGUGUUGGGAUCUUAUAAUCCAUACCCAAAAGACAGUUAAAAUGGAAAUAUUUUCUCAAACACGGCAUAGGUGAGGGUGUAUUGAGGUGGAGAGUGCAGCUAAGCAUAAAAGAUCUGGGUUAAAUAGCACACAGAGUAGCUGCACUUCUAAAGCACUCUCCCCAAACCAGAGGCUAAGCUAAUGAUGAGAAGACCGUUUAGAGACAGCAUGACUCCAGCAAUCCAUGAGAACAAUGCAAAGUUCAAAAAUAGCAGUAUCGACUGGUGGAAAAACAGCAUACAUAUAAUUUUCAGGUAAUUACUAUAGUAUAAUUAGCUCUGUUGUUUUCAUAAGAGCCAUCUGAAAUGAACUCUACUUGCUACUGGAACCCAGCUUUAUUUACAGCGUUCCCAGGACUAAAGUGAUUCGUUAAAAAUAGAGAGGAGGUAAAAAAUAAUAAAGAUGCGAGCGCUUCGUGUGCGAUACCAUCUCCGUGCAGUGGGUGGAGGCUACCUGCUGACGUCUCGCUCAGCGUUUCAUCCGCCCUACUCCGAGCCACGUUGGGCAACACGAGAGCUGAAGAACUGAGGAGCAGAAGCAAAAUCUACUCCCAGGCUGUCUGUAUGAGGGGGAGUAACGCGUAGCAUCAUAGCAGGCACUCGCUCUCAAAGUUAGGGAAAAUCUAGCACCUUGGUUUUUUAUUUAUUUAUUUUUUUUCUCUGCCACAGAACUUUGCUUGUUAGGAAUUAUUCAGUAUCGGUAGAAAGUAACUUCUCGAGCACUAGGGCCUUGCAGUCUCAUGUAAAAACACUUUUAAUUAGAAUGAAAGAGUUUGUCACAGUUAAAA